rnacentral:sRNA from 1 species
GCUGGGUGUGGUGGCACAUGCCUGUAAUCCUAGCCACACGGGAGGCUGAGGCAGGAGAAUUGCAAGUUCAAAGCAGCCUCAGCAACAGCAAGGUGCUAAGCAACUCAGUGAGAUCCUGUCUCUA